rnacentral:rRNA from 1 species
GAUGAACGCUGGCGGCGUGCCUAAUACAUGCAAGUCGAGCGAACGGACGAGAAGCUUGCUUCUCUGAUGUUAGCGGCGGACGGGUGAGUAACACGUGGAUAACCUACCUAUAAGACUGGGAUAACUUCGGGAAACCGGAGCUAAUACCGGAUGAUAUUUUGAACCGCAUGGUUCAAAAGUGAAAGACGGUCUUGCUGUCACUUAUAGAUGGAUCCGCGCUGCAUUAGCUAGUUGGUAAGGUAACGGCUUACCAAGGCAACGAUGCGUAGCCGACCUGAGAGGGUGAUCGGCCACACUGGAACUGAGACACGGUCCAGACUCCUACGGGAGGCAGCAGUAGGGAAUCUUCCGCAAUGGGCGAAAGCCUGACGGAGCAACGCCGCGUGAGUGAUGAAGGUCUUCGGAUCGUAAAACUCUGUUAUUAGGGAAGAACAAAUGUGUAAGUAACUGUGCACGUCUUGACGGUACCUAAUCAGAAAGCCACGGCUAACUACGUG